ACAUACCUAAGCAUUGUUGCAGACCAUGUAAAGCCUUUCAUGGAAACGGUAUUCCCUGGUGGCUGUGGCCUCUUUCAGCAAGAUAAUUCGUCCUGCCACAAAGCAAAAAUGGUACAGGAAUGGAUUGAGGAGAACAACAACGAGUUUGAGGUGUUGACUUGGCCUCCAAAUUUGCGUUUUUGGCGGGAUUCCCCUGGUAAAAUUUGCAUUCCAGGGGCUAAAUGUCACAUUAAUUUGGGUCAAUUCAACCCGCGGACAUGAAAAACAACCUGCAGAAACAGUGUAAAAGUAGCCCAAUUCCGCUGGAAAACCAUGGACUUGACAACACUGCUCUCGGGAGCGCGCGUAACCAUCACAUCCUUUUAUAUUUUCCCGGCAAAAACGUCCCGAGGCCAGCCUAGGAAGUCGGGAAAGGGCUCGGUUUUUUAAGUUUUGUUACCAGGUGUUCAAACAAUGGCAAUAAAAUGCGAUUAAUACAUAAAAAAUUCUUAUAUAUAGCCCCUUGAAUUAGGUAAUCCCUGAAGAGAGUAAAUGAAAAUGCAAUCUCAAUUCUGGACACGCUCAGUAAAGUGACACUGCACGUCUGAAUGUCAGUGAAGAUAGUUCAGAGGAAAGAUCCUGCAUCAUUUGAGCAGAUACACACAACCUGGGCUGCAUUAAUGCACGGGCCCCGGUGAUGCAGGAAAAAAUAUAACCGCAUUUUACAAUGUGAUGACUGUCCCUUUAACAUCGCUUUGCUUUGAAUACAUGUGCGGUUCUGCGCGUGAAGUGCAUCAAGACGGCAAGACCAGCAAGGUAUGGAUCAGACUUGCUGUCAGCAGCCUUUUUCAGAAGUUGCUUGAGAAUAUGAACACCUUUCUCGGCCUUGCGAUUUGACUGGGCAUACUCUGGACUAGAAGUUACAUGCUUGAAGUCAUAUUGCACUGAAAACUCUUGCCACUCUUUGCUGCUGAAGCAUGGGCCAUGGUCACUGAUGACAGUCUGUGGUAUGCCAUGUCUUGCAAAAAUUGAUUUUGCAUGUGUAAUUACGCACUUUGUAGACAUGCUAGAUAGUAAAGCCAAUUCAGGGUAAUUUGAGUAGUAGUCGAUCACCACUAGAUAAUUAUUGCCUUUCAGAUGGAAGAGAUCCAUUCCAACCUUCUCCCAGGGUGAUGUCGGAGAAUUCCAUCCACAACACAUAGAUCACCUCUGAUGUCAUUGUAUUUUGGAGAUGAACCCGUCAGCCAUCCAUUAUCCAUGUUGUCAAUGACAGCUUGCAAUUCAGUGUCUUUUUUGGUUCCCUCUGCUAUUUGCUUUGACUUUGCAUCUGACACAGGAAAUGCAAACUGUUACAGAACCUAUGGAAUGAGGAAGUUGCAUAAGCACAGAAACUCUGCUGUGGACACUCCAGCUGACAUCUCUUCUCUUCUCUGAUGAUGUGUUUACUGGCACAAGGGCGGGGCAUCCUGUCACUCCCAUGAGAUUGACCAAUAGAAAACCACAACCAUCCAAUCAAUUCCCCAUGGACCACCCUACAUUUUUCUUGUUCAAGAAGCCAUUUCACCUGGAUAUACAUCACAAAUAAAAAAAAAUAAAAUAAAAAAAACGCAACUUCUGGUUAAUGCCGACUUUAAGCACUAAUGCUAUUUCUUUGCCAUUGUUUCAUCUGUGUGCACAGUGAUUUAGGAGCACAAAAAGGUGUUUUGUAUUUUUAUGACUUUAAAUAAAAGAUUCCAUCUUAAAAUGCA